rnacentral:rRNA from 1 species
CCGCGGUAAUACGUAGGGGGCGAGCGUUGUCCGGAUUUAUUGGGCGUAAAGGGCGUGUAGGCGGUCUGGUAAGUCGGGGGUGAAAACCCGGAGCUCAACUCCGGGAUGGCCUCUGAUACUGCUGGACUUGGGUGCUCUAGAGGGUAGUGGAAUUGCCGGUGUAGCAGUGAAAUGCGUAGAGAUCGGCAGGAACACCAGUGGCGAAGGCGACUGCCUGGGGAGUAACUGACGCUGAGGCGCGAAAGCUGGGGGAGCAAACGGG